UUCUUAACAAACGUUGUAACCUACUUUCCUUUUAAGGGGAUCUCAGAUAUUCAAGAGGAGUUCUGCAGUGUUAUUUCAUCAAGGCAUAAUCCAAAACAUCUAGCAAAGCCUGCAGUGACUCCAACGCUGUCCUGAAGACAGACAAACAGAUUGCACUGAAAACUUUUGAAUGGUGACCGUCAGCAAACACAGCGGGAACGCAAGGGUGGGAUCACUGGAGCAGAGGAUUGUGGGAGCACUGGAGAACAUGGAGUCAAUCACUGGAGAUCUGGCAGAUCUGCCAGCAGAUGGAAAGAGGAAGAGAGCACUUGCUUUGUUUUUUAUUUAUGUCACUCCAGCAGUAGCAGACCAACCGUCUCUCAGAGCAGCAGGUGCUUGUGGGUGAUAAGAACUACCUGUCAACUGGUUCACUCUCACCUGUCACACUCAGACUGCUGUGGAGUGCUAGAUACAGUCAGACCGCUGCAGUGUGUGUGUGGGUGUGCACAUCGAAUGAGUAAUACAUGUAUUAAAUAAAAUGAAAGCAAAUAAUAAAAUCAUUGCUUUAAUUAAUACCUCAAUUCAGGUUCAUUAUAUUUAUUUUCAUUAGUUAUUUUCAUUAAAUUUUAGUUUCAUUAAAUAAUUAAAGAGAAAUAAAAUCUAACAUUUUUAGUUUCACAGAG
ensembl:lncRNA